rnacentral:lncRNA from 1 species
UUAUCCUCCCGCAACCGCAAACGCUAUUUGUAACCAGCUUUUGAAUUUAUGAGAUUUAGAGCGGUUUGAGCGAUUAUUGUAAAACGCCAACAACCGUUACCAACCGCGAAAGCUGCGUAUGCGGAUGGUAGUAGGGAAACCAGUCAUACCCUUAGGUAAAAAAAAGAAAAAAAUUCAACAAAAAAAAUCUCUUAGUUAAAUUUCAAAAUACUAAAUAUUUUGAUUUUGCACCAAACAAUAUACAUUUUGAUUAGGAUAAGAUGAUGUUGUACAAUAUUCAAUUAAACAAAAAGCUUUUAAUAUGUUCUUAUAAUUCGACAUUAACAAUUUAAACAAAAAGUACAAUUCUAACAAAUUUUAAAAAUAUCCAUACGACUGCAAAUGAAUGACAUCAGAAAUUGAUGGUACACACACCAAUUUUCAUGUUUUUUCCGAUGUGCAUAACCAAAAUAGACGUGAAAUUUUCCUUUACAUUCAUGAAACUUUUUUUGGUAACCUGCCCAAAAUAAGACCAACCACUUGUACAUG